rnacentral:rRNA from 1 species
GACAGAGGGUGCAAACGUUGUUCGGAAUUACUGGGCGUAAAGCGAGUGUAGGCGGUCUUGUAAGUCGGAUGUGAAAGCCCCGGGCUCAACCCGGGAAGUGCACUCGAUACUGCGAGGCUAGAGUACUGGAGAGGUUGGUGGAAUUCCCGGUGUAGAGGUGAAAUUCGUAGAUAUCGGGAGGAACACCAGAGGCGAAGGCGGCCACCUGGACGAGCACUGACGCUGAGAAGCGAAAGCGUGGGGAGCAAACAGG